rnacentral:rRNA from 1 species
UGUGUAGGCGGAACUUUAAGUCAGUGGUGAAAUCUUUCAGCUCAACUGGAAAACUGCCAUUGAUACUGCUGUUCUUGAGUUCAGUUGAGGUGGGCGGAAUGUGUAAUGUAGCGGUGAAAUGCUUAGAUAUUACACAGAACACCGAUUGCGAAGGCCGCUCACUAAACUGUUACUGACGCUGAGGCACGAAAGCGUGGGGAGCGAACAGGAUUAGAUACCCUGGUAGUCC